rnacentral:rRNA from 1 species
UGGCACCUACGGGACGCAGCAGUAGGGAAGCUUCCACAAUGGGCGAAAGCCUGAUGGAGCAACGCCGCGUGGGUGAAGAAGGUCUUCGGAUCGUAAAACCCUGUUGUUAGAGAAGAAAGUGCGUGAGAGUAACUGUUCACGUUUCGACGGUAUCUACCCAGAAAGCCACGGCUAACUACGUGCCAGCAGCCGCGGUAAUACGUAGGUGGCAAGCGUUAUCCGGAUUUAUUGGGCGUAAAGGGAACGCAGGCGGUCUUUUAAGUCUGAUGUGAAAGCCUUCGGCUUAACCGGAGUAGUGCAUUGGG